rnacentral:rRNA from 1 species
GUGGGGAAUAUUCCGCAAUGGACGAAAGUCUGACGGAGCAACGCCGCGUGAGUGAUGAAGGUUUUCGGACUGUAAAGCUCUGUUGUUUAGGACGAAAGUGCCUGUUGCAAAUAGUUACAGGUAUUGACGGUACUGAACGAGGAAGCCACGGCUAACUACGUGCCAGCAGCCGCGGUAAUACGUAGGUGGCAAGCGUUGUCCGGAAUUAUUGGGCGUAAAGAGCAUGUAGGCGGGAAUCUAAGUCUGUUGUGAAAAUGCGGGGCUCAACCCCGUAUUGCGAUGGAAACUGGGUUUCUUGAGUGCAGGAGAGGAAAGGGGAAUUCCCAGUGUAGCGGUGAAAUGCGUAGAUAUUGGGAGGAACACCAGUGGCGAAGGCGCCUUUCUGGACUGCGUCUGACGCUGAGAUGCGAAAGCCAGGGUAGCGAACGGGAUUAGAUACCCGUGUAGUCC